AGUUGAUGUCAUCACUAGAAUCGCCAGAUGAGAGAGAAAGUUCUGAAGAAGAACCAAUGGAAACUGAUUUACCUCCUCCUGUUAGAGAAUCAUGUGAUAUCAGGGACACCAUACUAGAAUAGAAGUUGGAAUUAAUAGACCUUGACAAUUUCCAAACAAUUAAAGUAAGCAGAAGACCAGAAUCACUAUGGGAACAUUCUCUACGAUGUUUUCAGAGAUCUAGUUUUGAUGUCAGAAAACUGUUAAAGGUUGAAUUCAGGAAUGAAAGUGGCCAGGAUGAGGGUGGUUUAAGGAGGGAGUUUUUAGAAAUUCU